rnacentral:tmRNA from 1 species
GGGGCUGACUGGCUUUGACAGCGUGUAGAAGCGGUAGGUAAGCAUGCAGAGCUUUGAUGACCAAGCUCUAUAAUCGCAAGAUCAUCGACCUAUAAUUGGCGAAAAUAACAACUACGCUCUCGCUGCGUAAUCUGAAGAACAGUAGGAUACCUUAAUUCUCCUACCAGGUAGGAGAACGAGACAUCACUCCAUUGCCCCGUUCCGAGACGUUUGGAUAAAGUGGUGCUAAGAAAUUCGGAAAUAGGAAGAGCGGUGUCCCGAUGCGCUUCCGAGAUUAAGGGACUAAGGUCCGGAUUGGCCGUCGUGAGCCUGUCCUGACACGAAAACCAAUUCACAGACUAAGCAUGUAGAAAGCUUAUUGAUUCCACGUUUGGACGAGGGUUCAAUCCCCUCCAGCUCCACU